rnacentral:snoRNA from 1 species
UCGACUGUACUCGAACAGGAUCACUUCUAUAGUAGAUCCGCUUGUUCACCUGCACAGCGACAGACAACACCUUAAGUCGUGAAGAUGAGUUGUACAUCCCGCCAUCCCUUGAAGGGAGGCUCCCUGUGCGAUGGACGUCUCUGACUGACUUCCACAGGGCAGCUUUGAUGAUACUGGGGCAGCUGGUGAAAGCCGCCUGCUCCAAUGGCGAGGAUGAUUCUGAACGACA